rnacentral:lncRNA from 1 species
AACCCCCUCCUUCCAUUGUGAUGUCUCAGCCUCAGUGGCCCACUUCCCCCCUCCUCUGGCCUUUUCCCCUGAAAUUGUUAAGGUGACUGCUGGGCAGACGUGAUGUCCUCUCAGUGACCACACAGUGCAUCCUAAGCCGAGACUACUGUGUGCUUCAUGAAAGAAGAAAUUUGACCAGCUCGGAAACACUUGACCAAUGUUCCAGCUUCCAAAGCUUAAUAGAAACAUAUGGCUACCCAUCGCUGGAAGGUUAUCUCAACUGGCCUUUGAAGGGUUAUUUUGAAGACAUUUUUGGGAAGAAAAGCUGCAUAAAAAUGUGAAGCACAAUUGGAUUUUUGCCCUUGGGAGAGUUUCCUUAACAAAAUGGUUUUGUUUUAGAGCACUUCCUCCAAAUACAUUCCUAUCCCCAGG